AGAGUUUGAUCAUGGCUCAGAAUGAACGCUGGCGGCNNNNUUUACACAUGCAAGUCGAGCGAGGGGGUAGCAAUAUCCAGUCGAGCGGGGACGGAGUAACGCGUGGAUAAUCUACCUUUUGGUGGGGGAUAACCCGGGGAAACUCGAGCUAAUACCGCAUGAGAUCGAAAGAUGAAAGGGGCGCAAGUCCCGCCGGAAGAGGAGUCCGCGUCCGAUUAGCUAGUUGGUAGGGUAAUGGCCUACCAAGGCGACGAUCGGUAGCCGGCCUGAGAGGGUGAUCGGCCACACUGGAACUGAGACACGGUCCAGACUCCUACGGGAGGCAGCAGUGGGGAAUUUUGCGCAAUGGGCGAAGCUGACGCAGCAACCCCGUGGAGGAUGAAGGCUUUUGGAUUGUAAACUCCUGUCAGCAGGGAAGAAGGCCUCGGCGAAGAGCCGAGGAUUGACGGUACCUGCAGAGGAAGCCCCGGCUAACUCUGUNNCGCAGCCGCGGUAAUACAGAGGGGGCAAGCGUUAUUCGGAAUUAUUGGGCGUAAAGGGCGCGUAGGCGGCCGUGCAAGUGGAAGGUGAAAUCCCUCGGCUCAACCGAGGAACUCCUUUCAACUGCUUGGCUUGAGUCCGGGAGAGGUGAGUGGAAUUCCCAGUGUAGCGGUGAAAUGCGUAGAUAUUGGGAGGAACACCAGUGGCGAAGGCGGCUCACUGGACCGGAACNNNNCUGAGCGGAAAGCGUGGGGAGCAAACGGGAUUAGAUACCCUAGUAGUCC
rnacentral:rRNA from 1 species